AAUGGCACCCUAUUCCCUACAUAGUGCACUACUUUUGUCCAGAGCAGUGCACUAUAUAGGGAAUAGGGUGCCAUUU
rnacentral:pre_miRNA from 1 species